GAUGAAGAACGUAGUGAAAUGCGAUACGUAAUGUGAAUUGCAGAAUUCAGUGAAUCAUCGAGUCUUUGAACGCACAUUGCGCCCCCUGGUAUUCCGGGGGGCAUGCCUGUCCGAGCGUCAUUGCUGCCCUCAAGCACGGCUUGUGUGUUGGGCCUCCGUCCUCCUCCCGGGGGACGGGCCCGAAAAGCAGCGGCGGCACCGCGUCCGGUCCUCGAGCGUAUGGGGCUUCGUCACCCGCUCUUGUAGGCCCGGCCGGCGCUUGCCGACACAUCAAUCUUUUUUCCAGGUUGACCUCGGAUCAGGUAGGGAUACCCGCUGAACUUAAGCAUAUCAAUAAGCGGAGGA
rnacentral:misc_RNA from 1 species